rnacentral:rRNA from 1 species
UAGAAAAUAUAGUUUUUGGAUAAAAUUUUUAGAAAUAUAAAGAAUUUAGUAGUGUUGACGAAAUUUCUUUUUGCUAUAGAGUAUUAGUACAGUGAUGGAAAUUGUUGAAAAAUUAAUUUGAAAAAUCCUAUAAUAAGAUAGUACUUUUAAUCAUAGGUACCUUUUGUAUUAGUGGCUAUUAAAAUUUUAUUAGAAAAUUUUUUCUCGAAAGUAAAAGAUCUAAUUGGAUUAUUAAGUUUUUGUGUCAAAAAAAUUUAUAAAAUCCGUUUAGGUGUGAGAUGCAAAUCGUUUUUACUAAUAUCUAGUAACUUUAGAAAAAAAUUUAGUUUGGGCCGCUAAGGAAUUCUUUAUUUUAAAGAAACUUUUUUUUGUAGUCUUAUAUUUUAGGGGAUGAGCUCUAAAAUAAAUUUAAAAGAAAAGGAAGCGUUAAUUUCUAAGUAGGCUUAGAAUUGGCCAAAAGAUAGUGUUAUAAGAUAGAAAUUUAGAUUUAGGAUUUAUUUUUCUUUUAAUUAAAUGAAGUUUAUAAAGAAAUAAUUUAGUUAUUGUAAAUAUGAUAGUAUAAGUAGAUGAAUCAAUUAUUUAGAAAUUUGUGUGAAUUUUUCUUAUAAAGGAAUUAUAUAAUUUAUGGCAAAAGAACUCGGCAAAUGAGAUUUCCGAAUGUUUAACAAAAACAUUUCCUCUUGAUAAAGGGAGGUAAGACCUGCUCACUGAAGUUUAAAGAGCCGCAGUAUCCUGACUGUGCUAAGGUAGCAUAAUCAUUAGUCUUUUAAUUGGAGACUGGUAUGAAUGGUUAAACGAGAAAUCAACUUUUUUUGCUAUAGAAAUCAAAUUUAAUUUUUUAGUGAAAAAGCUAAAAUUUCUCAGAAAGACGAGAAGACCCUAUAGAGUUUUAUAUUUUGAAUAAUUUUUUCUAAUUAGAUUUUUUUAGAUAAAAUUUUUUUAUAAUAUUUUGUUGGGGCGACAUUUAGAUAAGAAAAACUCUUUAUUUUUAAAACUUUAUUAAAAGAAUUGAAUGAUCCUUUAAAAAAGAUCAUAAGAAAAAAUUACCUUAGGGAUAACAGCGUAAUCUUUUUUGAGAGUUCUAAUCGACAAAAAGGUUUGCGACCUCGAUGUUGGACUAAAAUUUAGGCAAGGUGCAGUAGUUUUGCUUUAAGGUCUGUUCGACCUAUAAUAUUUUACACGAUCUGAGUUCAGACCGGCGUAAGCCAGGUUGGUUUCUAUCCUCUGAUUUUUUUUUAUCAGCUUAGUACGAAAGGAUUGGUUGGUUAUAAAAUUUAUAAUGAAAGAAUAACAUUAAAAUAGUUU